ACUUCCUGUGGAUAACAGCACGUCCUGGUCAAUCACCUUUCUUCAUCAACAAGUUUUCUGGUAACAUUGAUCCUCCUUACAAACACUUUUUUUGGUGAAAUACAAGUCUAACUUCAGAAAACUGCUUCACAGGGCGGUGCUCCACCAGACAUUUCCUGUUUUUAUAAAGGGAGGCGGACAAUAGUGGACAUCGUGGGGCACCUUUACCUAAGGCCAUGCAGCAUUUGCUCUCAAGCACGCACCUGUUAUCCUUCAAACCUGUUUGUUAGAGAAUGAAUGUUGACCCAAAACUUGAGAAAUAUGUAAGGAAAAUUCCAGGAGAAGCUGCUAGAAGUUUGCUGAAACACAAGUAAGUUGGGGGACUUUGUCCAGAUUUCUGCUGGGGAGAGUCAGAACAGAGCUAGCUCUGACCCACGAGGCUGGCUACUGCAGGCUGCUUUUUAUGCUGGUCCUCUUGAUCCAAUCCAAUCUGAUCUGUAUUUCCUAGUUAGCACAGUAAUGCAAGCUGUUUUCUAGUCGGUUAUGCUGGUGCUUUUGGGCAGAUCUGUUACUCCACCCUGCAUUACUUUUAAGGUCUUUCAUGAACCCAUUCAAAUUGUUCUAAAACCAAAAGUUACAGUUAAAAGAUGCAAAACCAUCAUAUAAUUGUAAGUCUUCAGCUUCAGUUACCUUCAAGCCAUAGGUAACGGACAAAAUGACACUUGUUAAAUGAAGUGCUUUCCCAUUUUAAUUAGUAUCUUGUGGAAAGUGCAGCUUAUCUUCCUGUACUAUUAUGUCAACUUAUCAGUAAUAGUGAUGUAUUAUUUACUAGGUUCCCCCUGUUCCCCAGUGCUGUUUUCUUAGGAAAUUAAUUAUUCCAUGACAGUACAGCUUUAGUGUGCUUUAAGACUGUGUGUUUUCAUUGCUGGCUUAUGUUGAGGUUUACCUAGCAUCUCCACAUACAGGUGUAUCCUUUCAAGCAAAACAUCACACUGCUAUGCAAAUGAAGGAAACCUAACUCAAUACGUCAUUAAGUGAGCUACACUGUAUCAAACUAAUGCCUAUAAAACACGUUUUUUUCAACCAUCAGACACUGAAACAUGAGUGAAAGACUAACAGCUAAGUGGUGCAGAACUAGAAGUAGUAAAACCACGAAGAUUAUAACAAUUCACGGGGAUAGGGACUGAAGUGCUGUAGACUUACGUUGCUCUGUAGAGAUCAAAACGCCCUUUGUCUUGUAUGUGGAACAUCAGGUCUCCCCCAUUCAGGAACUCCAUAACGAAGAACAGAUGAUCCUGUUUGCAAAUAAUCAGAGGAUGGAAACAUUAUUGAUGCUAUCACAACCGCACCUCGAGUAGCAAUCUGGCAGUGGGGACCCAGCAGCCACUUCCCUGCUGUCCUAUUUCUGUUUCGUGCACCCCUAAGAAUGCACGAGGCUGCUGCAGGGUUGAGUAGCAUGGUCUUGCAAGGCUAAGGAGCUCACCUCGUAUUCUGUGGGCUUCUAGAUUUAAUAUAAAUAUACGUUCAAAUGUAUUUCCUGACUUCUACCUGUGACAGUCAUCUUUGUUCCCUUCAAUGAGGAUAAAGCUAGGAUCAAGGUUUUAAAUUAAUCUGUCUCUUACUCCAGAUCAUGUAGACGUUACUCUGAUCUCAUUCUGAUCUCUUCAGCAUAUCUGGGUAUCGCACUUCUAUUUACUUUCCACCAGGCUUGUGAACUAUUACACAGAACACAAGAAGGGGAGAUUUAACUCUUGUAUCACUAAAGUUAUUUUCACUUGACUGUUGGUAAUAGCAUCCAUUAAAAGGCAACAUCUGUUGUGCUGCCCUCGCCUUCUUUUUUUUUUUUUUUCCCCUUCCCCUUACCUUUGUCUGGAACGUGCAGUAAAGGUGCGUGAGAAAUGGAUUUUCCCAUGCAAGUGCUAAAACCCGCUUUUCCACCAUGGUACAUUCCACAUCAUCAUCAAUUAGUACCACAUCUUUUUUCAGAGCUUUGAUAGCAAAGAAUUCGUUCUUCCCUUUCAGCUCAGCAAGCAGAACCUACAAAAAAAAAAA